rnacentral:tRNA from 1 species
AUCGAAAUAGCUCAGUUGGGAGAGCGUUAGACUAUAGAUCGAAAAGUAGCUGGUUCGAUCCCGGGUUCCGGCA